CUUAGGCAGCAGCAGCCGAGCUCCCUUCUCGUAGUGCCCCUCGCAUUCCUGUUCUCAGCCCGCUCUCCUCUCUGCUCGGUCUCCCCAGUACUUGCCUCACCUGGACACGUCGUUCUGUUGUUACCACUUGCCAGUCACGAUCUCUUCCUUCCUGGAGUUUGCGUGUUGGGAGUCCGUGGAUCAUGGCUGAAACUGCACGCGUUCUCGUCUCCUUCUCUGGCACAUCAUUGUGUGGAGCUGCUGAACGCCACUAUCUCUAGCUCCUGUAUCGUCGUGCCGGCGCUCAGCUCCCCAACUUCGCUGUUGCCUACUGGACCUGCUGCUCUCUCUGCAACAGCUCGUCGGCUCCCUAGAAAUUCCCCAGCCGUCGCCUGCCUUCUCGCGGACGUUCUCCCUCGUCGCGUCCGCAGCGCUACCGCGACUUCAACAUCGCCUAGGUGCCCCCUACUUGGUUUCAGGCCAUUGCACCAAACGCGCAUCUCCAAAGUGCCAUCGAGUUUCAUCUCACCUCACGGUGGCCAGGGAUCUUCCAAGGUUUCCUCGACCGUGUGGCGCUCGUUUUGUGCUCACGUAAGGUCAGUGAAGCUCAUCAACUUGGAAUUUUUAACUCUACUAUUUUGUGCUGACCAGAACAGAACUCCGCCGCCGUGGUUUGGCGCCGUGAAUUACCCCUGCGUCGACCCGUUAACUCGCGCCAUUUCCGGUCGAGUUCACACGCGCACUAUAGGUUUGUGAGAUCACUGAAGCUCUCUGGUAAAUGUGUUUUUGGGAUCCUUAGUGCAGUUUACAAAUUUUAAGUAAUUUAAGUGUGUUCUAAAAAGGAUUAAUUGAAUAUUUAGGGAGCAAAUGUGAGCACCAAAAAUUGUGAGAACUUUUGAGAGUCUUGUUAUCAGAAGAUAAACUCUUGGUAAAAGUUUGUGGCUGUUUGUAAGCCAUUUGCUCUGAAAUCCUUGUAGAGUCCCUAAUUGGAAUAAUAAGAAGAACAUAAUCACAUGUGGAUUAGAACUUUGGAAGAAGGAACAAGUUUAACAAGUGAAACCUGAUCUUUGGAUAAAGAAGUAAGAGUGCAUAGUGGGAUCUGGAUUUUUGGCGUAGUUUGAAGAUUGUUCUAAUCCUCUAGAAGUUCAAGUUGUAGGAUUCAAGUCAGAGAAGUAAGUCCUUACUUAAGGCAAGCAUAGAGUUCUUGGUUAUGGAGGCAGAGUUCCCUGGUGUGGUCUGAGAGCUUAGUGAUGAUAUUAGAAUGUUUAGCUCCCCUAUUGUUUGGUUAGUUUUGUGUGCACCUUUAGUAAGGUGUAGUUUGUACUGCUUUAAAGUAUUUUUGUAGUUGCAUAAGUAUAUGCAUUCAUGUUCAUAUCAUUUCAUGUAGAGCUCCCAGCAGAAGGAGUGUAAAUUCAAGAUGAAGUGGUUGUGGAAGAGGAGUUUGCUCCAGUGCCUAUUCAUCAAGUGGAUGGAGCUAUCUAACUGGUUAUUGGGUAGAAGAUCUAGAACCUCUUCUCUGCAACAAAGGCAAGCCCCGGUGCAUUUGCCACCUCCCUUGUGUUUACAAAAUUUUAUCACUUAUAUGUUGCAUUAGGUAAUAGGAGUUGAUUGAUUAAACACUUGAUGCAUUACCAUCCUUGAAAGAUUGAUUAUCAUACCUUGUCACCUGUUUUAUAAAAGCUAGAGAUGCUUAGUCAUGCUGAUAGACUAAGAAAAAUGUUUUUGAUCUAUGACUCAUGUUUUUUUACAAACAAGAAAAUGGGCUUGGGAUAAUGAAGGCAUCAAGACGUUGAUAAAUUCAUUAUCCAAGCAUGGCCCCUCUGUCAGGCGCCAAAAUUUUGAAAUAGUUUAAAAUGGGACCAGACGCUGAGCAGGAAAGGUCGCCCGUCUGUGUCGAUUAAGGACCGUACCGAUUGUUGGCCUGAUGAUCUAGGACCUUUUAACUGGCCACAUACCUCGUCAUGGGUAAGCCUGAACCCGUCUAUUCCAUACGUGAAAAGACAACCGCGCACUGGGCGUGGGAGAUGGUGGGAGUAGCAGUUACCCUCCUGGCAAGAGGCUGAAUGGUAGGGUAAUGUGCUCCCGGGUAGCGCGGAUCGGUUCAUGUAGUGGAGGAUCCGUGGGAAUGGUUGACAUAUGCAAGGGUUAAGUGCUACAUACGUCGUGUGGUUGGAGAUCCCCAGCUGGGUAUUAAUCGAUUCGGAUCGCCGUUACUUCUCGGAUAUGAAGACUGGAUCGCUGCCCUUCAUCGUAGAUAACAAGCGAAACAAAAUUUGGAUUUUAAAAGAAAGUUAGUAUAGGACAAGUGAAUGAUCUAGAUUAGGAAAUUGUUAGAUUCAGGCUAGAAGAUUCAGGUAAUAAACUAACUUGUGAAAUAAAACUUGGCUUAAGGACCCAUUUCUAGUAAGCUUUUCUGCAAAGUGAGUCCUUGAACUUUGAUGAGCUUUACCUUGAUUCCCAAAAGCCAGCAUACCCUUGAGAGUCUUUUCUUUAGUCGGGUAAGUCUUGCUGAGUAAUUGCAUACUCAGGGUUUUAUCCCUUGUUGUUUUUGUAGGAGAAGUUUUAUUCCCUUAUCUUUGGGUUAGUUACUUCAUGUGGAGGACUUGAAGCUUAGAAGGUUUUUAUAUAUCUCUUAUGGAAAGGCUUCACCCUUCCAAUUAUUGUAGUUAAGUUAUGCCCUUCGAGUACUAUCAGGACUUGUAAUAAAUACAUCUCUUUCUACCAUGUAAAACUUGAGUUCUGGAAUGUAAAGUGUACUUUGUAAAAGUCUUCCGCUCUAUCUCCAAUGUGUGUGUAUUAAAUGUGAUUACUGUAAUAUACCUGUUAUGUGGGAGAUCCUUGGGAUGAUGAGUUCCAGUUGGCGAACUCGAUAGCCUUGUUAAGUUAUCCGGUACACGUGUACAGCCAUCUUAGGCCAUUAAGGCAAGGAUUGGUGCAUGUGGGCCUGAUAACUUGGGAGGGCUGUCACAGCGUGGUAUCGGAGCGAUCCCCCAUUAUCAUGGAUAUUAAAGUAAUCCUUUGAUAGGCUUCAAAAGGAUUUUGAGUCCAAAGUAUUUUGAAAAAAAAAACUUAAGAAUGAAUAAGCAAGUCCUAAUAGUCGAAGUGCAAAUAGUAUAUGGUUAAGUUAAGGACUAUAAGGUGGCUUAGUUUAAGAUGCUAACCACUAACCCACAACUAUAAUGCAAUUUUCUGCAGGUACACUAACUAAACCCUAGGAAAGUGCGACUAGUGUUCAAUAACGGAGUGAGUAGGUAUGCCACCGUCAUAGAACGUGAUAACUACUAUAUGUUGGCAAGAGUUGCAAGGACGAAUAGGACGAGCAUGCAUCAUGACAUACAAUUUUAAGUUAAACCCCCUAUGUAAUAGCUUAGUACAUGUUUCAUCCAUCCUACUCAUGCUACCUAUCUUUGAUUUUUUUAUACUAAGUUUUCCUACUUGAAACUCAUUUCAUUUGAUUGAAAUGUAGUUUAUAAGGUACAGUUGCUAAAGGAUCUUUCCAUAGUGCACAACAUGUUUCACAUAUCUCAGUUGAAGAAAUGUCUUCGGGUUCCCAAACUGGGUGUUGAGAUUUCAGAUGUUAACCUUGGACCAGAUUUAACCAACUUGGAAUAUUCCAUAAAGGUUUUGGAUCAAAAGGAUCGGUCACUUGAAGAAAACUUAUCAAGUUUGCAGGAUGCAGUGGAACUAACACCCGGAAGAUAAAACCACAUGGGAAUUAGAGGAGUAUUUAGAUGUGAACCAGGAAGGGUACACCCCUGUCUUGUAGGGGUAAUGGGGAAAUAAGUCAGUGACACAUUUCCUUUUCCAUUACCUAGCCUAGAGUUUUAAAUCUCGGGACGAGAUUUCUUUUUAGGGGGGAAGACUGUAACACCCCUGGUGUUACGUUAACUAAAACUCUGACAUGUCAUCAUAAGCAUUUGCAUUAUCUGGUUUGAUAUACCUAGAAUGCAUUCAAUAGGUCAAACUUUUUCAAAAGUGUGAUGUUGUGUGUUGGGUUUAGAGUUUAGUUUAAGGACUAGGCCUAAGCUAGACAAGAGUAGGUCAUCUCUUGAGCAAGUAACAAAUGAACUUGGAGUCUUUGAGUGCUAAAGGCAAGUCUUAGAGUCUAUAGCAACUUUGUUUUCAAAGAUAGAUCAAGUGGAAGAAAUACUUGGACCGAAGGAUUAACUUCAAAACCCUAAGGCUUGAAUACAUUGUUUGAAAUUGAGUGUAAGCAAACAACUCUUAAACCAAGGACACUUUUGACAUGAGUUCUAUAUGCCAAGGUCGGAUUUGAGACUAAGGAGUUAUUUCUCUUAGGUGGACGAAUCACUGAAAGAAAUAAUAGCCACAUUUGAAGCCCUAAAACUAGCCCAAGAGUGGAAUUCAAAAUCUAGUGACGAUUGGCUAAAAGUCCAUAUAUUAAAGUUGUAGUACAUGGGAAAUAAAACAACUUUCUUAUUUGGAGAUUCCCAUGUUGUGUGAAGAAAAUUGGAGUAAAUCACAAAAGUUCAGUUUUGAGCUCAAAUUGGAAUUUGCUGAAAAUAGUAGCAACUAGGCAAUUUUGGUCCUUUAUAACUUCUGAUCUAUAAACAUUUUGAAGAUAGUCAUUAUAACAAAGUUAUAGAGCUACAUGAGGAGUAUAAGUUUGGUUAAGUCAUAUAGCUCUAAAACUAUUUGGAACUUGGAGUAAAACUGGUCCAAAAUAGAGCUGUCACAGAUUGUCAAAUUCAGACUUGGAGUAAAUUCAGAUUCUGAAUUUCUGUGUUCGAUGCAAACGUUGGGCUAGUGUGGUUUGGAAUCCAGGAGGUUUUGGUUAAUGACCACUAUACAAAACUUGUAAAUCCAUGAUAGUAUAACAAUUCUUAUUAAGUGAUAUAGUCCCAAAACUAUAUUUACUGGUAGAAAAGAUAGUCCAAAUGUUGAUUGACAGAUUUUUCCAGUUUUCAGACUUAAAACAGUAGUCUGAACCUGAGUUUCAGUAUUUUGAGCUGUUUUUGGAGAUCAAUUGUGCCUAAUCCAUGAGGUUUUGGGCUGUAGAAUAUAUAGAGUAAUUAAAUACCAUAUGAUGGUGAAUAAGUCUCCUUAAGUGACUUUGGUUUGAUCCUACACAAAAGUUGGAGAGAAAGCUUGCUCAAAGUUGGACUGACAGAUAGUGCUUUAACUGCAUUUGGUUCAGUUCUGAAAUCUUAAAUUUGUUGUAUGGUGCCAAGUUUGGAGCCCUUUUGUGGCUGUUUUGUAAGGUUUUAUACUAUGGUGCUUGUAGAGGAAUUAAAUACCAUAUAUUGGUGAACAACUUCCUUAAAGGGUGAUGGACAUGACCCCAUACAAGAAUUGGAGUAAGAACUGCUUAAAUUGGGACUGUGUUGUGGCUGAAACUGAAUUAUAUUCAGUUAUUGAAAACUGAAUUUCAGUGAAAGUUGCUGAGUUUGGAGCCCAUUUGCAGCUGAUUCAUGCAGUUAUAGGCUAAGAAAGCUAUACAAAGGUGGAUGAUCAUGUGUUGGUGUAUACGUUUGGUUAAGGAUUAUACCCCUAAAGCUACUUGGAACUAGGAGAAAAGGUUGCCUAAAUAUGGACUGUCAGGUUACUUGGACUGAGUUUUUGUUCAGAACUAAAAUCUGAAUUUUAGUGAAUAGUGCUCAGUUUAGAGCUCUGUUGUGAUUAAUCUAUGUGGUUUUAGACUGUAUUUUCUAUAUCAAAGUUGAAUAUCAUCUAAUAGUGAACAAGUUUCUUUAAGCCAGUGUGACGUGGUGCUGCACAAAAGUUGGAGUAAAAUGUGCCGAAAUUCUCUCUGUCAGACAUGUGUGUUCAGUCUCUUAUUCAGUUAGCUGCAGCUGGUUCCUAGUGUAUUCACCUCACUCUGGAGCGUUAUAACUUUUGAUCUAUGAAUCUUUGACCUAAGGUUCCUGAAGUAAACUUGUAAAGUUACAUUUUGUGAACAAACUUUAUUAACCAAGGUUGACAUGUAUUGCUUGGAAUCAUGAGGAUCGAAGGGGUUACAAAUGAGGGUUCAGUUUGGUGCCAAAUUCAGUUCAGAUUCUGAAACGUAUUCAGUUUUGCUGAAUUUUUAGAAACCAUGUAUUCCUUUCAGUGUUGGACCCUUCUAACUCUUAAUUCUUGGUGAAUGACCAUUACAUCAAACUUGGAGAUCUAUUAUGGAGGAAUACUUCUUAUGAUGAAGGAUCUCCCUGUUCUUAUUUUAGAUUAGAAGAAAACUUUGCUCCAAGUCGAGCUGUUGGGCUGGUGGUGGACUGAAUAUUGUUCAGCUGACUGAAACCGGUUCAAUUUUAGUGAGAAAAAGAUCUCCAUGCCACUGAUGUUUAUCCUGUACAUGUGCUCAGUUCUCUAAAUUUUUCUCCUUUGUUCCACUCGUUCUUAUCCAAUAUCUAGUACACGUACUCCCUGGAAGUCUCUCCGUGCGUUGUCUCAUCUCCAGAAAUCCACGUGCAGCCCUGAGCAGUGAGCACUAGCUUCUCCACGUCAUAUAUCCCCUCACCCCAUCGCUUAGGCAGCAGCAGCCGAGCUCCCUUCUCGUAGUGCCCCUCGCAUUCCUGUUCUCAGCCCGCUCUCCUCUCUGCUCGGUCUCCCCAGUACUUGCCUCACCUGGACACGUCGUUCUGUUGUUACCACUUGCCAGUCACGAUCUCUUCCUUCCUGGAGUUUGCGUGUUGGGAGUCCGUGGAUCAUGGCUGAAACUGCACGCGUUCUCGUCUCCUUCUCUGGCACAUCAUUGUGUGGAGCUGCUGAACGCCACUGUCUCUAGCUCCUGUAUCGUCGUGCCGGCGCUCGGCUCCCCAACUUCGCUGUUGCCUACUGGACCUGCUGCUCUCUCUGCAACAGCUCGUCGGCUCCCUAGAAAUUCCCCAGCCGUCGCCUGCCUUCUCGCGGACGUUCUCCCUCGUCGCGUCCGCAGCGCUACCGCGACUUCAACAUCGCCCAGGUGCCCCCUACUCGGUUUCAGGCCAUUGCACCAAACGCGCAUCUCCAAAGUGCCAUCGAGUUUCAUCUCACCUCACGGUGGCCAGGGAUCUUCCAAGGUUUCCUCGACCGUGUGGCGCUCGUUUUGUGCUCACGUAAGGUCAGUGAAGCUCAUCAACUUGGAAUUUUUAACUCUACUAUUUUGUGCUGACCAGAAC
rnacentral:lncRNA from 1 species